rnacentral:rRNA from 1 species
AACGAACGCUGGCGGCGUGCCUAACACAUGCAAGUCGUGCGAGAAAGUUCCUUCGGGAGCGAGUAAAGCGGCGCACGGGUGAGUAACACGUAGGUAACCUGCCCCCCAGUCUGGAACAACUAGAGGAAACUCUAGCUAAUGCCGGAUGAGACCACGAUCCCUUCGGGGGUUGCGGCCAAAGAUGGCCUCUACUUGUAAGCUAUCGCUGAGGGAUGGGCCUGCGGGCCAUUAGCUUGUUGGUGAGGUAACGGCUCACCAAGGCUGUGAGUGGCUAGCUGGUCUGAGAGGAUGACCAGCCACACUGGGACUGAGACACGGCCCAGACUCCUACGGGAGGCAGCAGUGGGAAUAUUGCGCAAUGGGCGAAAGCCUGACGCAGCGACGCCGCGUGGGUGAUGAA